AUAGAUAAGCAAGCCCACCAUGGUGUCACAUGCCUAUAGUUCCUGCUACUUGGGAGGCUGAGGUGGGAGGAUCACUUGAGCCUGGGAGGUUGAGGCUGCAGUGAACUGUGAUUGUGACACCGCACUCCAGCCUGGGCGACAGAAUGAGACCCUGUCUCAAAACAAAACAACUCCCCACCCCCAACAAAAAACCAAUGAUUCUAAUUUCACUGCAAACCUUUACACACACACACACACGCACGCACGCACACACCCCAGAAACAGGAGUGCAUGCAGGACAUGUGGAGGGGACAGGCGUAAGUUGGGGAACGAUAGCUGGGUGGCGUUGUGCUGUUUUAUUUUUGUUGUUAUCUCAAUGAGAACAUCAGAGAUAACCAGGCUCAUCUAUUUAUAUAUUGACCCAGGAGUUUCUAGCUAAAAACAGUUAAAAGAUAAUUUUUAAAACAAUCAUAACUUUCGGGAGGCUGAGGCAGGAGAAUGGCGUGAACCCGGGAGGAGGAGGUUGCAGUGAGCCGAGAUCGCGCCAUUGCACUCCAGCCUGGGCGACAGAGCGAGAGUCUGUCUCAAAAAAACAAAAAACAUAGCUUUCAUACAGGUAUAAAAUAAACACAGUGUAUUCAUUUUACUUAACUCAGAUGCUAUAACUGGUUCAAAGGACAAUCUGAAGAACACAUUUAUAGAUGAGAAAUACUAAAAUAAACUUGCGAAUGGACAAAAAAGUUGGCUUUCCUACAAGGUAGGGAGCAUUCCCUCUACCAGACAGAAUUCAUUUCCUGCCCAUAGACAGGCGCGUUUGCAUCGCCAGCAGCUCUUUACAACUUACGAAGCUGUAAAACAGCUCCUAAGCAAUGAAGGCUGCAAGCAGAUAAGCUGGCAGGCUGUGAGCAGGCCUCAAAUGGAGUUUUUCAAUGAAGCACGAAUGUUCCCCGACAGAACCCAAGAUGUCUCUUUAAAAGAAAUCAUGAAAGAAAAGGUGAUUAAGUGGAGCUUAUGGGCUGCUCCAGGGUUAAGUGGCCUCCAAAAUAAACAGGACUGCUCCAUAGUCAGAGUGAAUUUUGGGUGGGGUUUGAGAGAGUUCCUGCUUUCCUCUGCUAAUGGCGACAUAAAAUGACCAUUUCAUACCCAUGGAUAUACACUGAUGUGUACAUGUAAGUUGCGGAGGCAGUGGCAGAAGCCAGAGGACUUUCUCUGCCAUGAGCUUCUCCUAGGAGCCCUGGGUUGCAGAGGGUGAGGACUGCCAGGCAAGUGUGUCAGUUAAGGCCGAAGGGACAUUAGCUUUGCUUUAAAACACAUUGCCUGUGCUUGCGUUCGUGUCUUCAUCUGAUUUAAUGGGUUUUAGCUCAGACUCUCCAAAUCUAUUUACCUACAAGUCCUUUAAGGCAGACUGUGUUGUUGACAAAGCUAAGCAGAACAGAAUGUCCCCGCGGCUUCUAGCUUCAAGGAAUCCCAGCUAUUUAUCCAUCACCAAGAAGGGAAGCCCCACGGGUGGUUGACGGUUCAUUGACUCCAGCCCAGGGUGUUGGAUUUCAAUUAGUGCAUUUGCUUUUCCCUCUAGGUAGAGCUCACCCUUUAAAGUCACUUCUUGGCUCUCUAACAGUUUUAAGAUGCACUUUCCCAUCUCAACAACAAUACAGGACGUGUCUUACAGGGCUGUAGUUCUCACUCACAGCGUUCUUCCUCUGAGCGGCCCAGGAAACACUGGCAGGCCUUACAGUCAAGGCACCUUAGAUUUAAAGUAUGGAGUAAGCGAAACCUUCCUAACUGGUAAAGCACUCAGUAAUGCAAAUUCUGGGUGCAACUCAGUGGUUCUUAGUCUAGUCAGAGUUAUGCAAUCAUCAGCACAAUCUACUCACACCCCCCUCAAGGUAUGACAUAAAUAUUUCUGAAUCCACAAUGCGGACAAUCUCAUUAAUAACUUUAUUGAAUCCUGUAGCCCAGCACUCGGGGUCCUCUAAAACCCCACCCCGCCUUCCCCUCCAAUCACAGUGCCCACUGUCUCUUUUAAAUAGACUCUGUCCUCAUCAAGCCUGUUCUCUGUCCCCCAAAUACGCCAUAGCAUUCCUUAAUGCACGCCUUUUUUCCCCCAGUUCCCUACAAUCUUAUAAUUAGUGGUGACACUAAUCUAUAUGUGUUAAAACUCAUAGAAUUGUAUACAAAACAGUCAAUUGUACUUUGUACAUACAUUUAAAAGAUAAAAUGUGUUCUUUUAACGCU